rnacentral:rRNA from 1 species
GACGUAGGCAGCAAGCGUUGUUCGGAGUUACUGGGCGUAAAGGGUGUGUAGGCGGUUCUUUAAGUUUGGUGUGAAAUCUCCCGGCUCAACUGGGAGGGUGCGCCGAAUACUGAGGGACUAGAGUACGGGAGAGGAAAGUGGAAUUCCUGGUGUAGCGGUGAAAUGCGUAGAUAUCGGAAGGAACACCAGUGGCGAAAGCGGCUUCCUGGUCCAGCACCGACGUUCAGGCACGAAAGCGUGGGGAGCAAACAGG